rnacentral:lncRNA from 1 species
CCACACCGACCCCAUGGUGUUAGAGCAGCUCACCAGGGAUAAACCCUCACAGACCCCAUGGUGUUAGAGCAGCUCACCAGGGAUGAACCUCACAGACCCCAUGGUGUUAGAGCAGCUCACCAGGGAUAAACCACACAGACCCCAUGGUGUCAGAGAAGCUCACCAGGGAUAAACCACACAGACCCCAUGGUGUCAGAGCAGCUCACCAGGGAUAAACCACACAGACCCCAUGGUGUUAGAGCAGCUCACCAGGGAUAAACCACACAGACCCCAUGGUGUUAGAGCAGCUCACCAGGGAUAAACCACACAGACCCCAUGGUGUUAGAGCAGCUCACCAGGCCUAAUCCACACAGAAUGGCAGUGUUUGAAUAGAAAGACUGGAAACCUGUAGGAGGGGGCGAGGCUUCGUCAUAUAGGUUUAUUUCAUUGGUUUAAACGACUCAAGACCCCGCCUUGAUAUUAAAAAAAAGAGUGAGGGAGGGAGACAGUGACAGAGGAGGAGAGAGGAAACAAGAUCAACCAGUGAAACAGUAAGAUAGUCACCUAUUAAUCGGAGUGAUUUUUCGACCGUGCUUUUUGGACAGGAGCACAACACAUACCAUUCAAACCUGUAGGCUCCUUUCCCUAAUCAUGUGUCUCUAUAUAGGCGCCUACACCGGAAACAGCUGCCUAUCCUAUUAUUCCUAGCACUUGGAUAACUAAGUUUUUGGCAUUUAAAGGUGGAUCAGUGUAAUAGCCUACACGAAAUCUGUAGGGGAAAAACAUUUUUCACAACAAGCGGCUGGAUGAUGCUGCUCAUGUGUGUGUAAAAGUCUGCAUUUUCUUCUGAACUUGCGAUAAACGUCAGCUAUUCAGGUAAGAUUUUUAUAAUACAUAUAUUAGAACUAUCACGUUUGACUUAUAAUAAUCUAUACUAGUGUACAAUUGGUUGCAAUAAACGGGCUAUUUUGAUGUCCGCAUAAACUGUGACCAUUUGUGUUGUGUUCACCUCACUGCGCAACUAAGGAAUGGAAAUGGUCGAGUGAAUUGUAUGCUGAGGACAUAUUUUUGACGGACCACGGCGCAAAGCCAUACCUAGUCCUACUGUUAAAAUAUGUAGCCGAAACCUGAAGAUUUACCUCGUAUUUCACUGCCUCUCGUUCAUCUUCUUUCGACUACUGUAGCCUAUCAAGCCAUGUGGCGAUAACGGUGGACAGAGAGACAAGUGGUUUUUGUUUAACAAAAUGGGAAGUGCGUUUUUAUAUUGGUUUAUAGGAAGUUUCCCCGUUUCAACUGGAAGGCUGUAUGUUGAGUUGCUGAUGUGUACCCGGGUCGGGAAUCAGAUUAUGUUCCCGAGUUGUUGUCAUUUUAUACUGAGUGACAUCGUUUAUUGCGGUGGUCAGUGAAAGAUGGAAUGUAUCAAACCACAUCCGAUUUGGUAUCUUUUCUGCAGCACUACCGCAAGCAUUCUGAAAUCUUUUACAUCUGUGAUUACAAUACAGCACAUCUACUGUUGGGAAGCUUUACCAGACAACCAGGCGUGCUUGACGCCCUACAAACCGAAGGCAACGACCUUUAGCCAGUUUACCUCUUCCGCUUUUGAAGAAUUAACGAGAAAACUGCUUUUAUUCAUAGAUCGUCAUUUUGACAGAUGGCUUCUUUUUCUGUUGUUGUUGUUGGUGAACUUUGAGUAGAUAGUGUAUUUGAUAGAAAAACAUUAUGCAGCUAGUGAUUGUUUGUUUUACCCGAGACAGCAUCAUCAAUAUAUUACAUAUUAUCAAUGAACUGUAGGAGAUACUACUGCUGCUGCUUCGCAGUAGGAGAAAGUCACAACCAACGUCUUUGGAAGUUAUGUGAGUUGAGGAGCUCCCCAGAGAUCUAACCUGUAGUGCCCACAUGUUGAAAAGACCCCCCAUUUCAUAGUGUGGGUGAAUUCCAGUCACAUUCAGGCUUUACAUUACUGGGACCAAUCACAUUCAGGCUUUACAUUACUGGGACCAAUCACAUUCAGGCUUUACAUGACUGGGACCAAUCACAUUCAGGCUUUACAUUACUGGGACCAAUCACAUUCAGGCUUUACAUUACUGGGACCAAUCACAUUCAGGCUUCACAUUACUGGGACCAAUCACAUUCAGGCUUCACAUUACUGGGACCAAUCACAUUCAGGCUUCACAUUACUGGGACCAAUCACAGUCAGGCUUCACAUUACUGGGACCAAUCACAUUCAGGCUUCACAUUACUGGGACCAAUCACUGCCAUGAACUCAAACAAGACACUUUAUUAUAGCUUUUAUCAGUGGUGCUCCACCUCUCAAUGAGUUAGAGAGCUUGUUUAUGCAGCUGGUUUGAUUUAAGAUAGAGCCUAGUUAAUUAGUCCUUAAUUAACCACAUGAGGACACAGCCUGGAGUAUGGAGACAGUAAAGUAGUUAAUUAGUCCUUCACAUGAACAGCCUGGAGUAUAGAGACAGAGUAAUAGACUGGUAGUGUGGGUCUUUACAGCAUGUCAUUGAUGAAUGUAUGACAGAUGAAUGGAGGACAUCCUUAGAAUGAGUCUCGUUGUGUCCCUACCAGAGGGAGAGAAAGGGCUGGAGGAGGGUACACCCAGACUGACACACCGCAGAUCGCAUGCAAACACACACUCCCCUUGUCUUGCCUGCAGGAAUAAGGACACAAGAUGUGUGUAGCCAGGACAUCUGCUCUCUCUUUGGCCAUUGUCAAGGAAACAUGAAGUUGGUAGUGGAAGGGACUGCCAGAGGGACCAACAGCUCACGACAACAAAAGAGGCCUUGUCAGAAACCACCAUUAAGCUGGGUCAGUUCAGUCACAAGUACUGCUAGCUGCAGGAAGGACUCGGGAUCACGCGCUCACCGGCUUAUAACGUCCUCAGAGUAUUAUUUCAGCUAGUCCUCUCUAGCCUUGUCAGGUAGAGUCACCAUCACACUAUUCACAGAAGAGAAAGGAGAAAUUCAAGUUGCUUUGGUUCAUAAUUUUUCUUCAGUGUUUUCAGACUCUAGUGGUUAGUGGGUAUAGUGUGCCUAUCAGGUUUCAGGUAAGACCCAAGUGCAGACUGUGUUGAGGUAACAAUGUUUAUUGCAACGACAGGUCAAGGCAGGCAAACGACAGGUCAAGGCAGGCAAACGACAGGUCAAGGCAGGCAAACGACAGGUCAAGGCAGGCAAACGACAGGUCAAGGCAGGCAAACGACAGGUCAAGGCAGGCAGGGGUCGAUAAUCCAGAGCAGGGGCCAAGGUACAGGACGGCAGGUAGGCCCAGGGACAAGCAGAGGUCAGCAGUCCAGAGCAGGGGCCAAGGUACAGGACGGCAGGCAGGCUCAGGUCAAGCAGAGGUCAACAGUCCAGAGCAGGGGCCAAGGUACAGGACGGCAGGCAGGCUCAGGUCAAGCAGAGGUCAACAGUCCAGAGCAGGGGCCAAGGUACAGGACGGCAGGCAGGCUCAGGACAGGCAAGGGUCAAAACCAGGAGGACGAGGGAAAAAGAGAGACUGAGGAAAAGCGCUGGUUGACUUAAACAAACAAGACGAACUGGCACAGAUAGACAGAAAACACAGGUAUAAAUACACAGGGGAUAAGUGGGUAAGAUGGGUGACACCUGGAGGGGGAUGGAGACAAGCACAAAGACAGGUGAAACAGAUCAGGGUGUGACAGUAUCCUUACUCCCUUAGAGUUAAUUAGUCCUCUCUCUCUAGCCUUGUCAGGUACAGUCAUACUCCAAACUGUUCACUGAAGAGAAUUUAAACUGUUUCAUCUCUUUUCAGUUAUUUUUGGAUUAGUGUGGCUAGUGAGUUUACACUGAGUGUACAAAACAUUAGGAACACCUGCUCUUUCAAUGAGACUGACCAGGUUAAAGAUAUGAUCCCUUAUUGAUGUCACUUGUUAAAUCCACUUCAAUCAGUGUAGAUGAAGGGGAGGAGACGGGUUAAAGAAGGAUUUUUAAGCCUUGAGACGUGAGACAUGGAUUGUGUAUGUGUGCCAUUCAGAGGGUGAAUGGGAAAGACCAAAUAUUUAAGUGCCUUUGAACAGGGUAUGGUAGUAGGUGUCAGGUGCACCAGUUUGUGUCAAGAACUGCAACACUGCUGGGUUUUUCACGCUCAACAGUUUCAAUCAAUCAAUCAAUCAAUCAAUCAAAUGUAUUUAUAGAGCCCUUUUUACAACAGCAGUUGUCACAAAGUGCUUAUACAGAAACAGGCAUAAAACCCCAGAGAGCAACCAAUGCAGGUGUAGAAGCACGGUGGCUAGGAAAAACUCCCUAGAAAGGCUGGAACCUAAGAAGAAACCUAGAGAGGAACCAGGCUCUGAGGGGGUGGCCAGUCCUCUUCUGGCUGUGCCGGGUGGAGAUUAUAACAGAACAUGGCCAUUUAAGGCCAGAUUGUUCUUCAAGAUUUUCAAACGUUCAUAGAAGACCAGCAGGGUCAAAUAAUAAUCAGUGAUUUUAGAGGGUGCGAGAGGUCAGCACCUUAGGAGUUAAUGUCAGUUGGCUUUUCAUAGCCGAGCAUCCAGAGGCCGAGACAGCAUGUGCAGGGGGGGGUCUAGUGAACAGGUCAGGGUUCCAUAGCCGCAGGCAGAACAGUAGAAAAUGGAGCAGCAGCACGACCAGGUGGACUAGGGACGGGGACAGCCAGGAGUCGUCAUGCCAGGAAGUCCUGAGGCAUGUUCCUAAGGCUCAGGUCCUCCGGGAGGGGAGAGAGAGAGAUGGGAGAAUUAGAGAGAGCAUACUUGCGUUCAUACAGGACACCAGAGAUUUACACCAGAAAAGACAGAAGAUUUACACCGGAUAAGACAGGAGAUUUACACCAGUUAUGAGACUGAACCUAGCCCCCCCCCCCAGCACAUAGACUAUUGCAGCAUAGAUACUGGAGACUGUAUCAAGAAUGGUCCACCACCCAAAGGACAUCCAGCCAUGUUGACAUGACUGUGGGAAGCAAUGGAGUGAACAUGGGCCAUCAUCCUUGUGGAACGCCUUCGACACCUUGUAGAAUUGAGGCUGUUCUGAGGGCAAAAGGGGGGUGCAACUCAAUAUUAGGAAGGUGUUCCUAAUGUUUUGUACACUGUUGUCAUCAUUCGAAAGACUUGCUUUCCACCCACAUGAGAUACCAUAUUUCUGUCAAUAUCCCAUUUUCUCUCUCAUAUUUUCUACUGCAUUACAGUACAGUCCAUGUUACAGUACAGUCCAUGUUACAGUACAGUACAGUCCAUGUUACAGUCCAUGUUACAGUACAGUCCAUGUUACAGUCCAUGUUACAGUUCAUUACAUGUUACAGUCCAUGUUACACCACAGUCCAUGUUACAGUCCAUGUUACACUACAGUCCAUGUUACACUACAGUCCAUGUUACACUUCAGUCCAUGUUACAGUACAGUCCAUGUUACAGUCCAUGUUACACUACAGUCCAUGUUACAGUAUAGUCCAUGUUACAGCCCAUGUUACACUACAGUCCAUGUUACAGUCCAUGUUACAGUACAGUCCAUGUUACACUACAGUCCAUGUUACAGUCCAUGUUACACUACAGUCCAUGUUACAGUCCAUGUUACACUACAGUCCAUGUUACACUUCAGUCCAUGUUACAGUACAGUCCAUGUUACAGUCCAUGUUACACUACAGUCCAUGUUACACUACAGUCCAUAUUACACUACAGUCCAUGUUACACUACAGUCCAUGUUACACUACAGUCCAUGUUACAGUCCAUGUUACACUACAGUCCAUGUUACACUUCAGUCCAUGUUACAGUACAGUCCAUGUUACAGUCCAUGUUACACUACAGUCCAUGUUACACUACAGUCCAUGUUACACUACAGUCCAUGUUACAGUCCAUGUUACAGUCCAUGUUACACUACAGUCCAUGUUACACUACAGUCCAUGUUACACUACAGUCCAUGUUACAGUCCAUGUUACAGUAUAUAAUAACAGUCACAGCAGACUCUGGCAACAUCCCAAAUGGCGCCUUAUUCCCUAUAUAGUGCACUACCUUUGAUCAGAGCCCUACACUACAUAGGGAAUAGGGUGCUAUUUGGGACGCGACAUCUCUUACUCUAUGGGUGAAUAACAGUCUCCGUUAAGCCCUGCGUUAAAAUGUUCUCAUGUUGAGGACCACUAUGGUGGAUUUAUAGGUGAUGGUUCUCCUGUUGAGGACCACUAUGGUGGAUUUAUUGAUGAUGGUUGAGGACCACUAUGGUGGAUUUAUAGGUGAUGGUUGAGGACCACUAUGGUGGAUUUAUAGGUUAUGGUUCUGUUGAGGACCACUAUGGUGGAUUUAUAGGUGAUGGUUGAGGACCACUAUGGUGGAUUUAUAGGUGAUGGUUCUCCUGUUGAGGACCACUAUGGUGGAUUUAUAGGUGAUGGUUGAGGACCACUAUGGUGGAUUUAUAGGUGAUGGUUCUCCUGUUGAGGACCACUAUGGUGGAUUUAUAGGUGAUGGUUCUCCUGUUGAGGACCACUAUGGUGGAUGUAUAGGUGAUAGUUGAGGACCACUAUGGGGGAUGUAUAGGUGAUGGUUGAGGGCCACUAUGGUGGAUUUAUAGGUGAUGGUUCUCCUGUUGAGGACCACUAUGGUGGAUGUAUAGGUGAUAGUUGAGGACCACUAUGGGGGAUGUAUAGGUGAUGGUUGAGGACCACUAUGGUGGAUUUAUAGGUGAUGGUUCUCCUGUUGAGGACCACUAUGGUGGAUUUAUAGGUGAUGGUUCUCCUGUUGAGGACUACUAUGGUGGAUGUAUAGGUGAUGGUUCUCCUGUAUACAUUAGAUAUCUGAUGCCUAUACUGUACCAUUCUGCCCUCCAUGGAACUAAUCAUACGUUAGUAGUGUACGUCCCUGCUGGCACUGAUCAGUGCUGGUUGGUUUCCCCCUCUAGUUAAAAUGGAGGCUGUGUGUUAACGCCUAGAGGGGAUAGUCCAGAAGCACUAGUGUUUUCUGACUGAACAGAGAGGAAAUAGAUCCUCCCUCUAGCUCAGCCCGUCUGAGUCGUCUUUUGGUUUUGUUUUCCUGUUUGAUAAGUGAAAGGACCGGGUCAGAAUCAGGAAUGUUAAGAAAGAGGACAUUUGACGGUAGUGGUGCUAUCGGGGCAGCUCCACUGUAUAGUACAAAUAGUUAAUGAAUGGCUCCCUGUGUUUCUUUUGGGUCAAUUUGAAUAUGUGCUUUUAAUUGGUCUCUGUAGGUCUCUGUCUUCUCUCUCUCUCUCUCUCUCUCUCUCUCUCUCUCUCUCUCUCUCUCUCUCUCUCUCUCUCUCUCUCUGUCUCUGUCUCUGUCUCUGUGUCUGUGUCUCUCUCUCUGUCUUCUUUCUUUCUCCUUGUCUCUUCCCUCUCUCUCUCUCUCUCUCUCUCUCUCACCAUGACUGACUAGCUUCUCUUUCACUCACUCACUCACUCACUCACUCACUCACUCACUCACUCACUCACUCACUCACUCACUCACUCACUCACUCACUCACUCACUCACUCACUCACUCACUCACUCACUCACCACGACUGACUAGCUGCUCUCUCUCUUUCACCAAGACACACACACACACACACACACACACACACACACACACACACACACACAUACAUACAUACAGGUGUAUGGUGCCAGUCUGAUGUAAUGUCAAGCAAUGGAGCAGUGAUAGACACCAAUUAUCAUCCUAGUUAUUCAUUAUUUUCUGUCUUACAACUUAAUACUCUUUUAAUUGAAUGUCUAUUAAUUGAUGUGCUCCUGAGUCCAUACUUGGUAAUAUAAUCCACCAAGGAGAUGUCAAAGACAAAAGUCUUUAUUAUCUUAAGGAGAGGAGUCUACUGAGAUGUUAAAGUCCCCUGCUCAGUCGGUGUAUCUCGUUAUAAAACGGACAUCCUGUCAAAUGAAAAUGACAACGUAUCAUCAUCCGUAUUAAAAAGGGGUAAAGGAAUUGCUAUUAAAUAAUGAACUCAGCCGUGCUCUUGUUGUAAUGUCAGCCUGCUUAUAUAGGGGGUGUGAUUAUGGUAUUUUAUGAAGCGUCUUCUCAACGAGGAGUAAAAACCAAGCUUCAAGGUUAAAUGUGUGAAGGCCAAGCGUUUGGAGGGUGAGGCGGUGCGAGGGGAGGGUUGAUAAAUUUCACAUCCCGUAAUGUGAUUUGCGAUAUCUCCUCUUCUCCUGCCCUUGGUAGUGGGAGAUGUGGCGAGGUAUUAUUAACGACGCUCUGCCGUGUAAGUGUUUACAGAAAUAUUAAACAGAAUCGAUGAGAGAAGGUGUGGAUGAUUACAAAUUCACCAUCAUUCCAGCUUCCCAGCUUGAUGUUUCGUUACUGAAUACAAAUUCACUGGUUAAACCACUGGUGUGCAGUAGUAAAAAUGAGUGUAGAGAGACACCGCAAACACGUGAGGACCAGGAUGGGCGGUAGUUCCAGGAAGACAUCAGAGAGCAUAAUUCAUUCCAGGGCAUUCUAUAAGACCAGGGUGUGUGUGUGUGUGUGUGUGUGUGUGUGUGUGUGUGAGAAGGCUGUUCAUUGACUACAGCUCAGCGUUCAACACCAUAGUGCCCACGAAGCUCAUCACUAAAGUAAGGACCCUGAGACUAAACACCUCCCUCUGCAACUGGAUCCUGGACUUCCUGACGGGCCACCCCCAGGUGGUAAGAGUAGGCAACAACACGUCUGCCACGCUGAUCCUUAACACUGGAGCCCCUCAGGGGUGUGCACUUAGUCCCCUCCUGUAUUCCCUGUUUACCCACGACUGCGUGGCCAAACACGACUCCAACACCAUCAUUAAGUUUGCUGACGACACAAUAGUGGUAGGCCUGAUCACCGACAACGAUGAGACAGCCUAUAGCGAGGAGGUCAGAGACCUGGCAGUGUGGUGCCAGGACAACAACCUCUCCCUCAACGUGAGCAAGACAAAGGAGCUGAUCAUGGACUACAGGAAAAGGCGGGCCGAACAGGCCCCCAUUAACAUCGACGGGGCUGUAGUGGAGCGGGUCGAGAGUUUCAAGUUCCUUGGUGUCCACAUCACCAACAGACUAUCAUGGUCCAAACACACCAAGACAGUCGUGAAGAGGGCACAGCAAAACCUUUUCCCCCUCAGGAGACUGAAAAGAUUUGGCAUGGGUCCCUAGAUCAUCAAAAGUUUCUACAGUUGCACCAUCGAGAGCAUCCUGACCGGUUGCAUCACUGCCUGGUAUGGCAACUGCUCGGCAUCUGAGCAUAAGGCGCUACAGAGGGUAGUGCGAACGGCCUAGUACAUCACUGGGGCCAAGCUUCCUACCAUCCAGGACCUAUAUACCAGGCGGUGUCAGAGGAAGGCCCAUAAAAUUGUCAGAGACUCCAGUCACCCAAGUCAUAGACUGUUCUCUCUGCUACCGCACGGUAAGCGGUUCCGGAGCGCCAAGUCUAGGUCCGAGAGGCUUCUGAACAGCUUCUGCCCCCCCAAGCCAUAAGACUCCUGAACAGCUAAUCAAAUGGCUACCCUGACUAUUUGCAUUCCCCCCCCUCUCCUCCUGUUUUACACCACUGCUCCUCUCUGUUGUUAUCAUCUAUGCAUAGUCACUUUAAUACGUUUACAUACACCUUAGCCAAAUACAUUUAAACUCCGUUUUUCACAAUUCCUGACAUUUAAUCCUAGUAAAGAAUUCCCUGUUUUAGGUCAGUUAGGAUCACCACUUUAUUUUAAGAAUGGCUAGCUACUAGUACUGUUAGCUAGCCAGAUAGCCACAAAUAAUAGUUAGCUAGCCAGCUACCCACAAAGAAUUGGUAUCUACCUUGCAUAACGUUAGUUUUAGGUCAUAUAGUGUACAUAUACUGUAUCUAGCUGAUAGUUAUGAAGUAAUACGUUUGCUUUUUGUAUAUCUUGUUUGGUCUCUAUUGUUGUCAUUGUCCUGGCUGGAAGAAUGUUCAGUGAAUGGAGAGGUGCAGCGUGAGGUAAUACAGUAGGGGGGAGUGCUGCUCAGCGUGAGGUAAUAUAGUAGGGGGAGUGCUGCUCAGCGUGAGGUAAUACAGUAGGGGGAGUGCUGCUCAGCGUGAGGUAAUAUAGUAGGGGGAGUGCUGCUCAGCGUGAGGUAAUACAGUAGGGGGAGUGCUGCUCAGCGUGAGGUAAUACAGUAGGGGGAGUGCUGCUCAGCGUGAGGUAAUACAGUAGGCGGUGUGCUGCUCGUCGUGAGGUAAUACAGUAGAGGGAGUGCUGCUCGGCGUGAGGUAAUACAGUAGAGGGAGUGCUGCUCAGCGUGAGGUAAUACAGUAGAGGGAGUGCUGCUCGUUCUGAGGUAAUACAGUAGGGGGAGUGCUGCUCGGCGUAAGGUAAUACAGUAGGGGGAGUGCUGCUCGGCGUGAGGUAAUACAGUAUGGGGAGUGCUGCUCAGAGUGAGGUAAUACAGUAUGGGGAGUGCUGCUCAGUGUGAGGUAAUACAGUAGGGGGAGUGCUGCUCGGCGUGAGUUAAUACAAUAGGGGGAGUGCUGCUCAGCGUGGGGUAAUACAGUAGGGGGAGUCCUGCUCAGCGUGAGGUAAUACAGUAGGGAGAGUGCUGCUCAGCGUGAGGUAAUACAGUAGGGGGAGUGCUGCUCAGCGUGAGGUAAUACAGUAGGGGGAGUGCUGCUCAGCGUGAGGUAAUACAGUAGGGGGAGUGCUGCUCAGCGUGAGAUAAUACAGUAGGGGGAGUGCUGCUCAGCGUGAGGUAAUACAGUAGGGGGAGUGCUGCUCAGCGUGAGGUAAUACAGUAGGGGGAGUGCUGCUCAGCGUGAGGUAAUACAGUAGAGGGAGUGCUGCUCAGCGUGAGGUAAUACAGUAGGGGGAGUGCUGCUCAGCGUGAGGUAAUACAGUAGGGGGAGUGCUGCUCAGCGUGAGAUAAUACAGUAGGGGGAGUGCUGCUCAGCGUGAGGUAAUACAGUAGGGGGAGUGCUGCUCAGCGUGAGGUAAUACAGUAGGGGGGAGUGCUGCUCAGCGUGAGGUAAUACAGUAGAGGGAGUGCUGCUCAGCGUGAGGUAAUACAGUAGGGGGAGUGCUGCUCAGCGUGAGGUAAUACAGUAGGGGGAGUGCUGCUCAGCGUGAGGUAAUACAGUAGGGGGAGUGCUGCUCAGCGUGAGAUAAUACAGUAGGGGGAGUGCUGCUCAAAUGGAAUGUUUUAUGUGCUCUCCACACUCUCAUCCUCAGAAGAAGGUACUCAAGAGAACGUACUCAGAGCAUGAGAGUGUGGAGCGUGGUAGUAUGCAUAUUGAGAAACAGACAGAGAUAGACACAGAGUGUGUGUGUGUGUGUGUGUGUGUGUUACUCUGCUCGACCGUCGUUGAUUACUCAUCUGAAUUAGCCAACAGACUACAGGUCACCUUCCUCAUUGACCGACAUGAUAGAUGAUACAACGUUAGUAGUCUGUAUGCCUGUGUGUCAGUGCAUGAUACUGUGUCCAGCACUGCAUGUCAGAGCUCAGUAAUCCAUGCUACGGUUCAGCUGUGUCCAUGAUGCAGUCUCUGUCUCACACACACACACACACACACACACACACACACACACACACACACACACACACACACACACACACACACACACACACACACUCUGUGUCUAUCUCUGGCUGUUUCUCAAUAUGCAUACUACCACGCUCCACACUCUCAUGCUCUGAGUCUGUCCGGCUCCAUAGGGUAGCACAGAGUGUGUGUGUGUGUGUGCGCGUGUGUGUACAGUAGGGAUGGGUUUUUGAAAUAAUUUCACUAUUCGAAUAGUAUCAUGAAUUUUUGUUGGAUACCUGAAAUACAUGUGUUUUUGUAAACAUACGAUUUUUAACCUGAGCACUGCUGCGCGAGGAAAUGAGGCUGGCGUUCGAUUGUUGCAGCUGUGGAGGGGAUGGUAUGUGAGAUGGGAGCGAGCAGACGGAGGGAGAGAGGGAGCAGUAGCCAAAGCAACUCGGCUACAGCCAAAACUAGAUAACUUGCAGCAGCCAACUAGCUAGCUAGGCUAUUUGAGGCUACAGCCAAGACUAGCUAACUUGCAACAGCCAACUAGCUAGCUAGGCUAAUUGAGGCUACAGCCAAGACUAGCUAACUUGCAGCAGCCAACUAGCUAGCUAGGCUAAUUGAGGCUACAGCCAAGACUAGCUUACUUGCAGCAGCCAACUAGCUAGCUAGGCUAAUUGAGGCUACAGACAAGACUAGCUAACUUGCAGCAGCCAACUAGCUAGCUAGGCUAAUUGAGGCUACAGCCAAGACUAGCUAACUUCCAGCAGCCAACUAGCUAGCUAGGCUAAUUGAGGCUACAUGCUGUGCUUUCUCCAUAACCCCAUUCAGAUAAAACCACAGCCUACCUCGUCGUAGUCUACUCCUUCUCAUUUCACUAACUUUUAAAUCAAUAAUUUAAUUACAUCUUGCAUUGUGUUAGAGAACUCUCACUCCUCUUGGUACACAUUGAGCCUCUUUGUCACUUUGAUUUGCCAACAUAAACAAGCUAUACACGUGACGGCUACAAGUCUUUGUUAGGGGGCGCAGGGCUCCCGAGUGGGGCAGUGGUCUAAGGCACUGCAUCUCAGUACUAGAGGCAUCACUACAGACACACCCUGGUUCGAAUCCAGGUUGUAUCACCACCGGCCGUGAUUGGGAGUCCCAUAGGGCGUCGUCCGGGUUUGACUGGUGUAGGCUGUCAUUGUAAAUAAGAAUUUGUUCUUAACUGACUUGCCUAGUUAAAUGAAGGUCAAAUAAAUAAAUAUAUACUGUAUUUAUAGUCCACAUAUUCUAAGUCAGAACAGUCCAGAGCAGUUAAUCUAGUCGGGCAGGCGGGUGUGGGCAGCGAUUGGUUCAAGAGCAUGCAUUUCGUUUUACUUGCAUUUAAGAGCAGUUGGAUACCACGGAAGGAGUGUUGUAUGGCAUUGAAGCUCGUUUGGAGGUUUGUUAGCACAGUGUCCAAAGAAGGGCCAGAUGUAUACAUUAUGGUGACGUCUGCGUAGAGGUGGAUCAAAGAAUCACCCGCACCAAGAGCGACAUCAUUGAUAUAUACAGAGAAGAGAGUCGGCCCGAGAAUUGAACCCUGUGGCACCCCCAUAGAGACUGCCAGAGGUCCAGACAACAGGCCCUCCGAUUUGACACACUGAACUCUGUCUGAGAAGUAGAUAUGAACCACGUGAGGCAGUCAUUUGAGACACCAAGGCUGUUGAGUCUCCUGCUAAGAGUACAGUGAUUGAUAGAGUCGAAAGCCUUGGCCAGGUCGAUGAAGACAGCUGCACAGUACUGUCUUUUAUCGAUGGCGGUUAUGAUAAGGUUUAGGACCUUGAGUAUGGCUGAGGUGCACCCGUGACCAGCUCGGAAACCAGAUUGCAUAGCGGAGAAGGUACGAUGGGAUUCGAAAUGGUCGGUGAUCUGUUUGUUCACUUGGCUUUCGAAGACAUUUGAAAGGCAGGGCAGGAUGAAUAUAGGUCUGUAACAGUUUGGGUCUAGAGUGUCUCCCCUUUGAAGAGGGGGAUGACCGCGGCCGCUUUCCAAUCUUUAUGAAUCUCAGACGGUACGAAAGAGAGGUUGAACAGACUAGUAAUAGGGGUUGCAACAAUGGCGGCGGAUACUUUUAGGAAGAGAGGGUCCAGAUUGUCUAGCCCAGCUGAUUUUUAGGGGUCCAGGUUUUACAGCUCUUUAAGAACAUUUGCUAUCUGGAUUUGGGUGAAGGAGAAGCAGGGGGGGCUUGGGCCAGUAGCUACGGGGGAUGCAGGGCUGUUGGCCGGGGUUGGGGUAGCCAGGUGGAAAGCAUGGCCAGCCGUAGAGAAAUGCUUAUUGAAAUUCUCAAUUAUCAUGGAUUUAUCAGUGGUGACAGUGUUUCCUAUCCUCAGUGCAGUGGGCAGCUGGGAGGAGGUGCUCUUAUGCUCCAUGGACUUUACAGUGUCCCAAAACUUUUGGGAAUUAGUGCUGCAGGAUGCAAAUUUCUGUUUGGAAAAGCUAGCCUUUGCUUUCCUAACUGACUGUGUGUAUUGGUUCCUGACUUCCCUGAAAAGUUUAAUAUUGCGGGGACUAUUAGAAGCUAGUGCAGUACGCCACAGGAUGUUUUUGUGCUGGUGAAGGGCAGUCAAGUCUGGAGUGAACUAAGGGCUAUAUCUGUUCUUAGUUCUACAUUUUUGCUUAUUUAAGAUGGUGAGGAAAGCACUUUUAAAGAACAACCAGGCAUCCUCAACUGACGGGAUGAGGUCAAUAUCCAGUUUGAUUAGAAAGGCCUUCUCGCUGAAUUAUUUUAGGGAGCGUUUGACAGUGAUGAGGGGUGGUCGUUUGACCGCGGACCCAUAACGGAUGCAGGCAAUGAGGGAGUGAUCACUGAGAUCCUGGUUGAAAACAGCAGAGGUGUAUUUAGAGGGCAAGUUGGUCAGGAUGAUAUCUAUGAGGGUGCCCAUGGUUUCGGAUUUGGGGUUGUACCUGGUGGGUUCCUUGAUAAUUUGUGUGAGAUUGAGGGCAUCUAGUUUAGAUUGUAGGAUGGCUGGGGUGUUAAGCAUAUCCCAAUUUAGGUCACCUAGCAGUACGAAUUCUGACGAUAGAUGAGGGGGCAAUCAAUUCACAAAUGGUGUCCAGGGCACAGCUGGGAGCUGAGGCGGGUCUAUAACAAGCGGCAACAGUGAGGGACUUAUUUCUGGAGAGAUGGAUCUUUAAAAGUAGAAGCUCGAACUGUUUGGGCAUAGACCUGGAUAGUAUGACAGAACUCUGCAGGCUAUCUCUGCAGUAGAUUGCAACUCCACCCCCUUUAGCAGUUCUGUCUUGACGGAAAAUGUUGUAAUUGGGGAUGGAAAUUUGAGGAUUUUAGGUUGCCUUCCUAAGCCAGGAUUCCGAAACGUUUAGGACAUCAGGGUUGGCAGAGUGUGCUAAAGCAGUGAAUAAAACAAACUUAGGGAGGAGACUUCUGAUGUUAACAUGCAUGAACCCAAGGCUUAAACUCCAGAGGUGAGGUCUAAUGGCAGCAGAACUACAGUAAACCCCAGAGGGGAGGUCUAAUGGCAGCAGAACUACAGUAAACCCCAGAGGGGAGGUCUAAUGGCAGCAGAACUACAGUAAACCCCAGAGGUGAGGUCUAAUGGCAGCAGAACUACAGUAAACCCCAGAGGUGAGGUCUCAUGGCAGCAGAACUACAGUAAACCCCAGAGGUGAGGUCUAAUGGCAGCAGAACUACAGUAAACCCCAGAGGUGAGGUCUAAUGGCAGCAGAACUACAGUAAACCCCAGAGGGGAGAUCUAAUGGCAGCAGAAAUACAGUAAACCCCAGAGGUGAGGUCUAAUGGCAGCAGAACUACAGUAAACCCCAGAGGUGAGGUCUAAUGGCAGCAGAACUACAGUAAACCCCAGAGGUGAGGUCUAAUGGCAGCAGAACUACAGUAAACCCCAGAGGGGAGAUCUAAUGGCAGCAGAAAUACAGUAAACCCCAGAGGUGAGGUCUAAUGGCAGCAGAACUACAGUAAACCCCAGAGGUGAGGUCUAAUGGCAGCAGAACUACAGUAAACCCCAGAGGUGAGGUCUAAUGGCAGCAGAACUACAGUAAACCCCAGAGGGGAGAUCUAAUGGCAGCAGAAAUACAGUAAACCCCAGAGGUGAGGUCUAAUGGCAGCAGAACUACAGUAAACCCCAGAGAUCCAGAGGUGAGGUCUAAUGGCGGUGGGAGGAGAAUUAGUUUGUUGUAACUUGGCAAGAUGAUUGGCUAUGGUGUGACAUUAACCUCCUCCUGGAUGCUAAUGAAACCAGUUAUGUCCUUGGAGAGUUAUGGAGGAUUAUUUCUCAACCCUCAAUAUCUUCUUUUCUCCUCCCUUCUUCUCCCUCCUCUUCACCCUCUUUUCCUUUCCUCCCUCUCCUCUCCUCUCCUCCCCCUCAUCUCCUCUCCUCCCCCUCAUCUCCUCUCCUCCCCCCUCAUCUCCUCUCCUCCCCCCUCAUCUCCUCUCCUCUCCUCCCCCCUCAUCUCCUCUCCUCCCUCCCCUCCUCCUCUCCUCUCCUCCCUCCCCCUCAUCUCCUCUCCUCUCCUCCCUUCUCUCCCCUUUUCUCCUGUCCUCCAAUAACAGUAUAGCUCUCCGCCAGAUGCCCAAUACAGGAAGUGGCUCAAAGACACAUACACACCAGCUACCAGACACAGACAUGUUAGUCACCUUGUAGGUUUGUUUUCAACCUGAGGGGAGAGUUCUACAUCAUACUAUCAUACCUUCAACCUGAGGGGAAAGUUCUACAUCAUACCUUCAACCUGAGGGGAGAGUUCUACAUCAUACUAUCAUACCUUCAACCUGAG